rnacentral:rRNA from 1 species
ACGGGAGGCAGCAGUGGGGGAUAUUGCACAAUGGAGGAAACUCUGAUGCAGCAACGCCGCGUGAAGGAAGAAGGCCUUCGGGUUGUAAACUUCUGUCCUUGGUGACGAUAAUGACGGUAGCCAAGGAGGAAGCCACGGCUAACUACGUGCCAGCAGCCGCGGUAAUACGUAGGUGGCAAGCGUUGUCCGGAAUUACUGGGUGUAAAGGGUGCGUAGGCGGCUCAUAAAGUCAGAUGUGAAAUACCGAGGCUUAACCUCGGAGCUGCAUUUGAAACUUAUGGGCUUGAGUGAAGUAGAGGUAAGCGGAAUUCCUAGUGUAGCGGUGAAAUGCGUAGAUAUUAGGAGGAACACCGGUGGCGAAGGCGGCUUGCUGGGCUUUUACUGACGCUGAGGCUCGAAAGCAUGGGUAGCAAACAGGAUUAGAUACCCUGGUA